UUGGCGGCCUAAAUUCUUCUCAGAGGAACUCGUAUCUUAAUCCGAUAAUCCUCGUUAAUUUUCUCUUUUCCUAAAAGUAUUUAUAUCGCCGUCUAUGUUUAAAUUUAAAAAUUUAAAUCAGAGCUUUAUUACUUUACAUCAGGUCGAGAUAAAGCCAACGGAAAAGGGAGCCGAGUUACUUAUUUUUAUUAAUAACUUUUUUCAGAAUAACUUAUGAAAAAUAUAGGAUUUGAAAGUAAUAGUAAAAUAAUAUUUUAUUAUGAAAAAGUGCAUAAAGGUGUACAUAUCGCCCGUCACCCUCGUCUAAAGACGAGGUAAGUCGUAACAUAGUUAAUGUACUGGAAAGUGCAUUAAGGG
rnacentral:rRNA from 1 species